rnacentral:rRNA from 1 species
GACGAACGCUGGCGGCGUGCUUAACACAUGCAAGUCGAACGGUAAGGCCCUUCGGGGUACACGAGUGGCGAACGGGUGAGUAACACGUGGGUGAUCUGCCCUGCACUUCGGGAUAAGCCUGGGAAACUGGGUCUAAUACCGGAUAGGACCACUGCCUGCAUGGGUGGUGGUGGAAAGCUUUUGCGGUGUGGGAUGGGCCCGCGGCCUAUCAGGUUGUUGGUGGGGUGAUGGCCUACCAAGGCUGCGGCGGGUAGCCGGCCUGGGAGGGUGACCGGCCACACUGGGGCUGAGGUACGGCCCAGACGCCUACGGGAGGCAGCAGUGGGGAAUAUUGCGCAAUGGGCGCAAGCCUGAUGCAGCGACGCCGCGUGAGGGAUGACGGCCUUCAGGUUGUAAACCUCUUUCAGCACCGACGAAGCGCAAGUGACGGUAGGUGCAGAAGAAGGACCGGCCAACUACGUGCCAGCCGCCGCAGUAA